UUUAACAAACGACUCCCACAAAACAUCCCAGAUGACCUCACCAAGCCAAGAGAAGGAAAAGACUUUUUGACGGAGCUCCAUCCAGCAGAAAAACUAUGUGCUGUCUGUCCCGGGUCAGUACAGCUUGGCAAGUCCUCCAAAAUCACCCAGAACGCAAAAAUUGUAACAAUGAAUGGAAUAAUUAAGAAUGUCUCAACGUAUUUCAAGCAGUGUCCAAGUUGCAGUUCAGUGUAUCGAUACCAGGAGUGGACGGAUGGCCUCCAUAAUUUCAAUGAUCACGUGGUGUUAAGCCUCGAGCUGUGCUUGUUUUUGAGGCACAGCCUGCAGAACAGAGUCUCAGUGUCAAAAGUCAUCAACUCACUGGAAAGCUUGAGGAAUGAGAAGUUUCCACCAAGAGACACCAUCCAGCAUGCUUAUUUCCACUUCGAGGCACUCGCUGGCCAUGAUUACGCCAUCUCUUCUGUUUGUUGUGGCGACCACCCUUCGAUAGCUGUGAUGGAUCUCCACAAGAAAGGUGAUUUCAAUUUACCAGUGAGUGACAUGAAUGAAGCUCCAGAGGACGACUGUGGUGAGGGUGGAUGAAGAACAAUUCUGGGACUCAGUCAGCAGGAGAGGAUUGCGCGAGGAUUUUUUCAAAAGUGACCUGCCGCAUUAGCCAUGGCAAGCUGUUUUCCCACUACACAGACUCAUCAAAAGCUCUCCUUCGGGGUGACGUUCAACCAGUUUUUGAUUGAAAAAGAGGAAGCUUGGAGCCAGCUCUGAGGUGAACGCACAUCACAGGAUUAUGGAGGACUGCAAAAAAAGCUGCAAAGUGGCUUUGAGAGAAUGAUCACCCAUUUGCAGCAAAGGUGGAUUUGGCAGAAGCUCUGCAGAUGGGGGGGAGAAGCUGACAGAUUGCCACAAGGACUAUGAGCAUGGGCGAGUCUUCAUAUGAAACCAUAGAACUUGAGGACAAAGAAUUGAUUCUGGAGCCAUUUAGGUUUGUGUUUCACGCUGUGGAAGAUAUUUGGAAGUUCCUUGAAGAAAUUGUUUAUCAGGGAUACUGUGCUUAUUGUGAGUGUAAAAUAAAUAAAGUCAUGGGGUUUUGUUUUG